AUAUUAUAAUUUUUAUUUUCCAUCUGCAUGCUUUGGCUACGAAGACCAAGGCGUUAUGACUGCAGCAGCUAGCGAUGCC